rnacentral:sRNA from 2 species
AUAUCUGUUUUCUAGGGUUCCGUGGAAGAAGACUUCCAGUCUGGUCCGAGAGAAAACGCACAUCGCGCAGGUGGUGUGUCACGGAGGGAGAAAAGCCCGGGAGGA